AGUGAACGCUGGCGGUAGGCCUAACACAUGCAAGUCGAACGGCAGCACAGUAAGAGCUUGCUCUUACGGGUGGCGAGUGGCGGACGGGUGAGGAAUACAUCGGAAUCUACUUUUUCGUGGGGGAUAACGUAGGGAAACUUACGCUAAUACCGCAUACGACCUACGGGUGAAAGCAGGGGAUCUUCGGACCAUGCGCGAGUGAAUGAGCCGAUGUCGGAUUAGCUAGUUGGCGGGGUAAAGGCCCACCAAGGCGACGAUCCGUAGCUGGUCUGAGAGGAUGCUCAGCCACACUGGAACUGAGCCACGGUCCAGACUCCUACGGGACGCAGCAGUGGGGAAUAUUGGACAAUGGGCGCAAGCCUGAUCCAGCCAUACCGCGUGGGUGAAGAAGGCCUUCGGGUUGUAAAGCCCUUUUGUUGGGAAAGAAAAGCAGCAGGUUAAUACCCCGCUGUUCUGACGGUACCCAAAGAAUAAGCACCGGCUAACUUCGUG
rnacentral:rRNA from 1 species